CCAUCAUUCCUCCUCACACUACAUCUAAAUCAUCUAUAUAUGUUUCUAAUAAAACAGUAACUCCUUCCUACUCUUUAUUCAAAUCUAGGGUUUCUAUCUCCUCAGAUGGCUAAAAACGGAGUUUUUGGGGCAGUUCCAGUUCAGUAUUCUGCUCUGCAAGGUGGUAAGUAUGUUUUUCUUUGGCAAUUUUACUUGGAAAAUUCUCUCUUUCUAUCUCAAAUGGAUUCCCAUAUUUCUAUUUUGGUUCUCCAUGAACCAAAGCACUAAAAUUUUCUUUGAUUUGAUGUCAGAACUUGUUGAUUUCAUAUAAAUGUUUAAGGUCGUUGGAAAGAGCACAGAAAUGAAAUUCUUUUUUUCAAAUCUUGAGUUACUAUUUGACAAAUCAUUGAAGUGACAACUAACAUUCAGAAAUGGUCAUAUUGUAGGGUAAGGACAAGUGAGAUAUAUAUAUAUGUGUGUGUGCAUGAUGUCUAGUGCCUUCCACAAGUUUCUAAGAACACAACAUUAUUAUAAGGUCACAAACAUAGCUGUUUUAUUUGACUUGUACACAUAUCUUCUUUAUGAUGCUAGUGGAGUGGUGUCUGAUUUUGACAAUCUUCUUUAUGAUGCUACUGAAAUCAAAUUAUGGAUUUUGACAUCCAACAAAUGAAACCAUCCUUUCAAUCAAUACACUUUUUUGAUUAAAUCAAUCUAAUUUUUUGCUACCAAAUCUCCCGUCCCUAGUUGAUGUGGGACGCUCAAUGGAUUAAUCUGUCGUGUUCAAAUAAUUCCAAAUUUGAUUGAUGAUACAAGUAUGUUUUCAGUAUUUGAAUUCUACACUGAUUAAUUCAUCAUAACAAUGCGUUUAGAAAUAAAAUCACGGGAUAAAACUUAGAUAUAUGUCCAACUGUUGCUAUAUAGUGGAUGUUGUUUCAGCCUCUACAGUCUACAGAUCAUCAAUGAAAUUUAAGGGUAUCUUUUAUUUCCAUUACUGUCCACAUAUAUACAAAAUUUUCUCACAAUUUUAUGUGUGUACAUGAGGACUUUUCAUAAUCAUAUACUAGACAUCAUCCAAUUAGUGAUGGGUUAUUAAUGUUUUCCUGUCCUGUUAUUCUAAAGCAGAAAUUUUCACAUAAUUGGCUGUAAUUUCCUAUAUUAGGGUUAAGAGAGAUUAAAAUGACAUCUUAUUAUCACUUGUCAAAAAUUAUUUAGCACAAUAAUAUAAUUAUAUUUAGCGCAAAUAAUAAAUAUUUUAUAUAAAUGCAUGUCACUAAAGACUUUUGUGACUCUAAAUGCAACGAUAUUAAUACUAAAAAGGAAAAUUUAUUACCAGUAAAUGUCGUGUGUAGUGACUUAAGUUAAAUUAUUGAUUCGAAUUUAAAUUAUAUUUGCGUGAAUAGAAUAGAGUGGUCCUAAUGGUGUUUGCUUUCUCAGGCUGAUAUAGGGAAAAUGUCAGUGCACAGUUUGAACUUUGAACCAGUUUACUGCGCCUUUUGAUGGACUCUACUUAAAUUAAAUUACCUAUUUUAUCUUUUAUAUGAUGUAUAAUUAUCUCUUGGAAUAUGAUUUGGGGAAGAAAAGGCUUUUUCAGUUUUUUUUUUUUUUCUGAAAGACAAGUAGAGGAAAAUAUAAUCUAUUUACUUGUUCCAAACUAGAUAACAUAAAAUGGCUAUAUAUACAUCUAGGUUUUUGUUUAUAAAAUUUCUUCUUAUAUAUGUACCUAAUCUAAUACAUAUAUCUUAAUUUAAUUUGACCUAGCCUUUUUUUUUUAGUACACAUACAAAACCUACAUGCAUCUUCAUAUUAAUUUCUUGAUACAUAAACAAAAUGCAAUUGAGAUCACUCUAUCGAUUCUCGGGGAGUCAUCUCAAUAGCUCAGCUAAUUGGCUAUCUUAACUCUUACCUUAUUGAUAAAAUUCGAUCCACGUCCAACUUGUAGUCCCCUCUCCAUUUUCCCUAACCUUUGAAAAAGUAAAAAAUAAUAAAUCUAUUGAUUCUCUUUUUUCUUCAGAUGCAGGAACAUUUGAAGAUUACAUAUUGUAGAACAGAAACUAUUCCAUCUACAAUUUAGGAUAUAUAGAUAUUAUAUAUGUCGACAUAGUCCCUAUAGAGUUGUUCUUCUUCAUAAAUUUACACAAGGCUCUAUAGUAGAUUUUGUAAGCCUUCUAGAUUUUUGUGACUAAUCAGUGUUGUAUUGAGGUCAGUAGAUUUUUCAAUGUUGUAUUGAGGUCAGGUCUAGCCCCCCUCUACUUCUUUUUUUGCCACGCUAUCCGGGUAAUUGAUUAAACAAAAAUGAGGAAAUUAGUUGCUAAA